GAGAAACGAAUGCACGCCAUAUGCGACUGAAUCAUUCAACCAUAUUUUGGGAUCUAAUGGUUUGCAUGGCCAUCACUGCUUUAUGGUAUUAUUAUUGGUGUGGGUGAUGGAACAGAUAGGUGGGGAAGAGAGUGACCUCAUUAAAGAGUGGUUUGGAAACUAAGGUGGCAACAAUGGCGGUGUAUUAUUGGGAGGAGGUCUCCCUCAAAGCAUUUAAGCCUGGUUGACGCAACCCCGCAAGGGAAUUUGAUCGAACACCUAAAGCCUCCUUCGAUGAGCUCAGUCUUCUCUCAGCAUUUUCUCAAACAAACGAC
rnacentral:lncRNA from 1 species